GAUGAACGCUGGCGGUGUGCCUAAUACAUGCAAGUCGAGCGAACAGACGAGGAGCUUACUCCUCUGACGUUAGCGGCGGACGGGUGAGUAACACGUGGAUAACCUACCUAUAAGACUGGGAUAACUUCGGGAAACCGGAGCUAAUACCGGAUAACAUGUUGAACCGCAUGGUUCAACAGUGAAAGACGGUCUUGCUGUCACUUAUAGAUGGAUCCGCGUCGCAUUAGCUAGUUGGUAAGGUAACGGCUUACCAAGGCAACGAUGCGUAGCCGACCUGAGAGGGUGAUCGGCCACACUGGAACUGAGACACGGUCCAGACUCCUACGGGAGGCAGCAGUAGGGAAUCUUCCGCAAUGGGCGAAAGCCUGACGGAGCAACGCCGCGUGAGUGAAGAAGGUCUUCGGAUCGUAAAACUCUGUUAUUAGGGAAGAACAAAUGUGUAAGUAACUAUGCACGUCUUGACGGAACCUAAUCAGAAAGCCACGGCUAACUACGUG
rnacentral:rRNA from 1 species